rnacentral:rRNA from 1 species
CCCUUAGAUGUUCUGGGCCGCACGCGUGCUACACUGACCGGUGCAACAAGUUUCUUUCCUUGGCUCGAUAGGCCUGGGUAAUCUUUGAACACCGGUCGUGAUGGGGAUAGAUCCUUGCAAUUUUUGAUCUUCAACGAGGAAUUCCUAGUAAAUGUGAGUCAUCAUCUCGCGUUGAUUACGUCCCUGCCCUUUGUACACACCGCCCGUCGCACCUACCGAUUGAAUGGUCCGGUGAAGCCUCCGGAUUGCGCGCCUCCGGGCUGUCGCGAGAAGUUGGCUAAACCUUACCAUUUAGAGGAAGGUGAAGUCGUAACA